UUCUCAAUCUUCUGGGAGGACCUCCUCUCGUGGCGCCCAGAAGUUAAUGGAGUCUUUGAAGAAUAACCGGACUGUACGGGAGAACCCCGGUUUUGCCCAAGUCUUGGGGUCUUCCAUCUUUCUUCGGGAGGAUCGGGACAGACUGUCUCCGGACAACCUUGACGAUAUCCUGACUCGAUCCAUGAGCCUGAAUGUGGAAUGUCUAGUGAACCAGCACAUAGUUCGGGAAAAGGCUCAUCGCCUGGGUAAGGAGAUCGAGAAGAAGAAUCAGGAAGUGGCUUCUCUCCGAUCCCAACUCCUAUCCACUCAGGAUUACAUAUCUCAAGUUGAGGGGCGGGCGAAGUUCUAUGAAGACAAGCUGGCCGAACAGUCUCAUGUUCUGGCUGAAAAGGAUCGUGCUCUCGGGGAAGUCCAGGCGCUUCGGGCCAACGAAGCUUCUUCUCAGGUCGCUCAACUUAUCGAGGAGCUUAAGGCGAAAGACGAAGAAAUGGUGACAGGAAUAGCAGGUGCUUAUGUGGAUGCUCACCAGGACCUCUUAGCCGAACUCCAGAAGCGUUACCCAGAGGAGGACUUCUCUUGGAUGGCCGACCUGGCUCCCGGAGGCGAGGGUGAGGAUAGUGAGGAGGAGGGAGAGGGUGAGCAAAAUGUAGAUCAGGCUG
rnacentral:misc_RNA from 1 species